rnacentral:rRNA from 1 species
UACAGAGGUGGCAAGCGUUGUUCGGAAUUACUGGGCGUAAAGGGCGCGUAGGCGGCUUGGUCAGUCCCGUGUGAAAUCCCUCGGCUCAACUGAGGAACUGCACGGGAAACUGCCUGGCUUGAGUUCGGGAGAGGGAAGCGGAAUUCCGGGUGUAGCGGUGAAAUGCGUAGAUAUCCGGAGGAACACCGAUGGCGAAGGCAGGUCUCUGGGCAUUAACUGACGCUGAGGAGCGAAAGCAUGGGGAGCGAACAGG